CGCUAUAGGCAUCACGUAAUAUGCAAUGGCCUUUACAUGACAGCCUAUACCUGACCUUGUUUAGGCUGUGGUGUAUACUUGCCAGGUAUAUGCAUGCGUCUACAGGUAAUGUUGUAAACAACAGUGCCUAUACAGCUGCGUGUGUACAUGAGCGCCUAUUACAAGACCGCUAUAGGCAUCACGUAAUAUGCAAUGGCCUUUACAUAACAGCCUAUACCUGACCUUGUUUAGGCUGUGGUGUAUACUUGCCAGGUAUAUGCAUGCGUCUACAGUUGAUGUUGUAAACAACAGUGCCUAUACAGCUGCGUGUGUACAUGAGCGCCUAUUACAAGACCGCUAUAGGCAUCACGUAAUAUGCAAUGGCCUUUACAUGACAGCCUAUACCUGACCUUGUUUAGGCUAUGUGGUAAACAUGACUGGUAUACAGAUGUGUCUACAUGUGAUGUUGUAAACAACAGUGCCUAUACAGGUGCGUGUGUACACGAGUGCCUAUUACAAGACUGCUAUAGGCAUCACAUAAUAGGCCUUCAUGUUUACAUAACAGCCUAUACCUGACCUUGUUUAGGCUAUGCUGUAUACUUGCCAGGAUGUUGUUUACAUGUGUCAUUUGUGUACAGAAAUAUAUGGGAUGCAUAGAAGCUCAGGGGAUUACAAUUUUCACAUACUCUUCAUACGUUACUAUCACACAUCACACAAGGAAUCUCAGCUCUCAGCCCACAAUCCCUCAGUCUGCUUUACUAAAUGAAUAAUCCACAUGUUAUCUGGCCUAUUAAUGCUGCAACUCCAAAACACAACCAAAACACUUAACAGAAUAAAUUCUCCGACACUAUCAGCACAACACAAACAGUCAUUUCCUACUCCCAUGAGCCCCAAUUGAUCAAUCCUCCUCUACCCGGUCGUUAUUAUCC
rnacentral:lncRNA from 1 species